rnacentral:rRNA from 1 species
AUCCCUUCGGGGUGAUGGUGGCCGGUCUAACGCUCGACCCCAUGCUGGUGCGGUUAGCGUAUGAACAGGUGUGACGCAGGAAGGUAGCUGAGCCAGGCGAUGGUAUCCGUAAGGUGAACCUGGUGUAAGGAUGUAGGGCUGACGAUAGGCAAAUCCGUCGUCUGUGUGCCUGAGAUCCGACGCGUACCCGUAAGGGGAAAUCAGUGAUCCUAUGCUGCCGAGAAAAGCAUCGACGCGAGGUUGCAGCCGCCCGUACCCGAAACCGACUCAGGUGGUCAGGUAGAGAAUACCAAGGAGAUCGAGAGAAUCGUGGUUAAGGAACUCGGCAAAAUGCCCCCGUAACUUCGGGAGAAGGGGGGCCGGACACGUGACCGGAUUUACUCCGUGAGCGUUGAAGGCCGCAGAGACCAGUGGGAAGCGACUGUUUACUAAAAACACAGGUCCGUGCGAAGUCGCAAGACGAUGUAUACGGACUGACGCCUGCCCGGUGCUGGAAGGUUAAGAGGAAGGGUUAGCCUUUGGGCGAAGCUCUGAAUUUAAGCCCCAGUAAACGGCGGUGGUAACUAUAACCAUCCUAAGGUAGCGAAAUUCCUUGUCGGGUAAGUUCCGACCUGCACGAAUGGCGUAACGACUUCCCAGCUGUCUCAACCGCGAACUCGGCGAAAUUGCACUACGAGUAAAGAUGCUCGUUACGCGCAGCAGGACGGAAAGACCCCGUGACCUUUACUACAGUUUGGUAUUGGUGUUCGGUGUGGCUUGUGUAGGAUAGGUGGGAGACUGUGAAGCGGGCACGCUAGUGUUCGUGGAGUCAUUGUUGAAAUACCACUCUGGUCACUCUGGAUGUCUAACGUAGGACCCUGAUCGGGUUCAUGGACAGUGCCUGAUGGGUAGUUUAACUGGGGCGGUUGCCUCCCAAAGAGUAACGGAGGCGCCCAAAGGUUCCCUCAACCUGGUUGGCAAUCAGGUGGCGAGUGUAAGUGCACAAGGGAGCUUGACUGUGAGACUGACAGGUCGAGCAGGGACGAAAGUCGGGACUAGUGAUCCGGCAGUGGCUUGUGGAAGCGCUGUCGCUCAACGGAUAAAAGGUACCUCGGGGAUAACAGGCUGAUCUUGCCCAAGAGUCCAUAUCGACGGCAUGGUUUGGCACCUCGAUGUCGGCUCGUCGCAUCCUGGGGCUGGAGUAGGUCCCAAGGGUUGGGCUGUUCGCCCAUUAAAGCGGUACGCGAGCUGGGUUUAGAACGUCGUGAGACAGUUCGGUCCCUAUCCGCUGCGCGCGUUGGAAAUUUGAGAAGAUCUAUCCCUAGUACGAGAGGACCGGGAUGGACGAACCUCUGGUGUGUCAGUUGUUCUGCCAAGGGCACCGCUGAUUAGCUACGUUCGGACCGGAUAACCGCUGAAAGCAUCUAAGCGGGAAGCCGUCUUCGAGAUGAGAUUUCCAUGCACCUUGAGUGUGAGAGGCUCCCAGCAGACUACUGGGUUGAUAGGCCGGAUGUGGAAGCGGGGACUAACGACCCGUGGAGCUGACCGGUACUAAUAAGCCGAAGACUUGAUAACACACUGAUUUCCGUGCACUUGUUGCACGGGCUCGCGUCCACUUUGUGGUUCCCGACAGACGAUCGGGAAUCAAACUGAAUACACCGCUCUGCCCAUUCGUGGGCAGCAGCCGGAACAUGUUUGAGACCAGAUU